rnacentral:rRNA from 1 species
AUUGAACGCUGGCGGCAUGCCUUACACAUGCAAAUCGAACGGUAACGGGCCUUCGGGUGCCGACGAGUGGCGAACGGGUGAGUAAUACAUCGGAACGUGCCCGAUCGUGGGGGAUAACGAGGCGAAAGCUUUGCUAAUACCGCAUACGAUCUACGGAUGAAAGCAGGGGACCGCAAGGCCUUGCGCGGACGGAGCGGCCGAUGGCAGAUUAGGUAGUUGGUGGGAUAAAAGCUUACCAAGCCGGCGAUCUGUAGCUGGUCUGAGAGGAUGAUCAGCCACACUGGGACUGAGACACGGCCCAGACUCCUACGGGAGGCAGCAGUGGGGAAUUUUGGACAAUGGGCGCAAGCCUGAUCCAGCCAUGCCGCGUGCAGGAUGAAGGCCUUCGGGUUGUAAACUGAUUUUGUACGGAACGAAAAGCCUUCUUUUAAUACAGGAGGGUCAUGACGGUACCGUAAGAAUAAGCACCGGCUAACUACGUG